rnacentral:rRNA from 1 species
UACGGAGGGAGCUAGCGUUAUUCGGAAUUACUGGGCGUAAAGCGCACGUAGGCGGCUUUGUAAGUAAGAGGUGAAAGCCCGGAGCUCAACUCCGGAACUGCCUUUUUAGACUCGCAUCGCUUGAAUCCAGGAGAGGUGAGUGGAAUUCCGAGUGUAGAGGUGAAAAUUCGUAGAUAUUCGGAAGAACACCAGUGGCGAAGGCGGCUCACUGGCCCGGUACUGACGCUGAGGUGCGAA